GACGAACGCUGGCGGCGUGCUUAACACAUGCAAGUCGAACGGUAAGGCCCUUCGGGGUACACGAGUGGCGAAAGGGUGAGUAACACGCGGGUGAUCUGCCAUGCACUUCGCGAUAAGCCUGGGAAACUGGGUUUAAUACCGGAUAGUACCGCUGCCUGCAUGGGUGGGGGUGGAAAGCUUUUGCGGUGCGGGAUGGGCCCGCGGCCUAUCAGCUUGUUGGUGGGGUGAUGGCCUACCAAGGCGACGACGGGUAGCCGGCCUGAGAGGGUGACCGGCCACACUGGGACUGAGAUACGGCCCAGACUCCUACGGGAGGCAGCAGUGGGGAAUAUUGCACAAUGGGCGCAAGCCUGAUGCAGCGACGCCGCGUGAGGGAUGACGGCCUUCGGGUUGUAAACCUCUUUCAGCACCGACGAAGCGCAAGUGACGGUAGGUGCAGAAGAAGGACUGGCCAACUACGUGCCAGCAGCCGCAGUAA
rnacentral:rRNA from 1 species